UAUUUGCAGAAAUUGAUGCGGUUCAUC
rnacentral:piRNA from 1 species